GUCUCGCUUCAGACUCGGAUUUAC
rnacentral:misc_RNA from 1 species